AACGAUUUCAGUCUGGAUUUCUUCUCCAUCUUUCUUCCAGAACCAGAUCUCUAUGGUUCAGCGCUUCCCCCACCAAGUAUGAUUCUUCCCUUUUUUCUAGUGCUUCUUUUGCUAGUUUAUAGGCGUGAGCAUUCUCCGAUCUGUGGAUGAACUGGAAAGUGAUCUCUUGAAGACUAGUUCAUUUACUCUGAAUAUCUCUAAUAAUCGCUCAAAGUACUGAUUUGUCUACUUUUGUCGAUUGACAUUUCUUGAUGCCUGUUUUAGAGUCUCCCAUUAUUGUUGCUGAAUUUAAACCCAUUAAUAAUACUAACUUGAUGGCAUCUAACCCUGCAUGACCUUCUACUGCAAACGGGGAUGAGAAAUUAUAAUAGAGAUUCGUCUUUGAGGCUUUUAACAAACCCAUCUGGUCCCGAACCACUACACCCGAAGCCAAUAUAGAAUUUCUUGUGUCGAAGGCUGCAUCAAACUAUACUGUU
rnacentral:lncRNA from 1 species